rnacentral:rRNA from 1 species
CCGAACCCUGUCAAACUCCGAAUGGAUAUACUGUAGAGCCUUGGAGUCAGACUACGAGUGAUAAGAUCCGUGGUCAAAAGGGAAACAGCCCAGACCACCAGCUAAGGUCCCCAAUGUCGUACUAAGUGGAAAAGGAUGUGGGGUUUCAUAAACAACCAGGAUGUUGGCUCAGAAGCAGCCACCAUUUAAAGAGUGCGUAAUAGCUCACUGGUCGAGAGACCCUGCGCCGAAGAUUCCCGGGGCUAAAGUACGAAACCGAAGCUGUGGCUGUAUACGUAAAGUAUACGGGGUAGGGGAGCGUUCCCAUAGGGUAGAAGUCGAACUGGAAGGUUCGGUGGACUUGUGGGAAGUGAGAAUGUUGGUAUGAGUAGCGAAAAGAAAGGUGAGAAUCCUUUCCACCGAAAGCAUAAGGAUUCCUGAGCAACGAUCGUCGUCUCAGGGUAAGUCGGGACCUAAUCCGAGGCAGAGAGCGUAGGAGAUGGACAACUGGUUGAUAUUCCAGUACCGGUAGUAAUUGUUUGAGCAAUGGAGUGACACAGAAGGGCAGGCAAGCAUGCGAAUGGAAGAGCAUGUGUAAGCGUGUAGGGUGGUGCAUAGGCAAAUCCGUGCACUGAAAGCCUGAGGCGUGAUGCGGAGUGAGCAGAGAUGCGAGCGAAGUUGUUGACCCCACACUGUCGAGAAAAGCUUCUAGUGAGAGAGCUACCGCCCGUACCGUAAACCGACACAGGUAUGCGGGGAGAGAAUCCUAAGGUGCGCGGGAGAACCCUCGUUAAGGAACUCGGCAAAAUGUACCCGUAACUUCGGGAUAAGGGUAGCCACUGUUGUGAAGUCCCAUGCGGAUGGAGCAUAGAGUGGUCGCAGAGAAGAGGCCCAAGCGACUGUUUACCAUAAACACAGGUGCCUGCUAAAGCGAAAGCUGACGUAUAGGUGCUGACACCUGCCCAGUGCCGGAAGGUUAAGGAAGGAUGUUCGGAUUAGUCCAAAGCAUUCGACUGAAGCCCCGGUGAACGGCGGCCGUAACUAUAACGGUCCUAAGGUAGCGAAAUUCCUUGUCGGGUAAGUUCCGACCCGCACGAAAGGUGUAACGAUUUGGGCACUGUCUCAACGAGGGACCCGGUGAAAUUGAAAUACCUGUGAAGAUGCAGGUUACCCGCGACUGGACAGAAAGACCCCAUGGAGCUUUACUGUAACCUGACAUUGGGUUUUGAUACAUUACGUACAGGAUAGGUGGGAGGCUUGGAAAGUUGGACGCUAGUCUGACUGGAGCCGACGUUGGGAUACCACCCUUGAUGUAUUGAAAUUCUAACCGCGAGAGUAACGAAAUCCGGGACAGUGUCAGGCGGGCAGUUUGACUGGGGCGGUCGCCUCCGAAAGAGUAACGGAGGCGCCCAAAGGUUCCCUCAGCGCGGCCGGAAAUCGCGCGAAGAGUGUAAAGGCAGAAGGGAGCUUGACUGCGAGUCAAACACGACGAGCAGGUACGAAAGUAGGGCUUAGUGAUCCGGUGGUACCGAGUGGAAGGGCCAUCGCUCAACGGAUAAAAGCUACCCUGGGGAUAACAGGCUAAUCUCUCCCAAGAGUCCAUAUCGACGGGGAGGUUUGGCACCUCGAUGUCGGCUCAUCACAUCCUGGGGCUGAAGU